UCAGAAUGACGCAGAGGAACGUGACGGCUAUCGAGGCGAGGGCGGAACUAUACCUUGGGCAGUGGGAGAGCAGAUUGGACCAUGUGGUGUAGGCUGCAGUGGUCAAUGAUUCGGAGAGGUGGUACUUCAAGGCGGAGGACAUUAGAACAGUCCAUUGUAUGUACCCAAGCACUCUUCCAAUUUGUAGGCUUUACAAAGCUAAUAUAGUUUUUAUUUUAAUUUUGCAGAUUGAUGGGUUGGAGGACCUAUCUAUUAGGGUAGCUUCACAAGAACAACUCGGUAGAGAUGACACCGAGGCGGUUUGGCAGUGUCUAUGUUCCAUGAUGCACGCCACCAGAGAUAUGGAGCGUAGGCUUGACGACCCACGUCAUCACCUCCAGAUACCCCCUACAGGAUCGACCCACCAUGCAUACAACCCUAACACCGUUGAGCCACUAAGUCAGGUUGUUGUCCCCAUUACAAGAUGUACACUAUGCCAGUGGAUCCACGAGGUGCAGUUUGUUCUAUGGCCCUACACCCCCGACUUGUCAGACUUUCGUGCCCAGCAACACCCACCCCUAACAGUACUAGCGGGAGAAAAAGUCUCAACACUGGGGACAACAGUCUUCUCAGACAUAGCAGAGGAGACAAUAACAUAUCCAGUCACAAUAAUGGCGCCCCCAAAUACCUUUUGAUGGAGUGAACUCCUCACAUAGUGGGCCCCACAGACACAACACCUGGAAACUCUGUUUGAGACGAUGAUUGAGGAUCAGAUAGUCAGACAUGGCACAGAUCAAAUAGCCCUUCUAAGGCGUCAGCAACUUGGGUGCGACUGAACCUUUCAUAGAACAUGUGCGACACCAGAGCCCACCCCUGAGCAGAUCGCUUGAGGGGGACAUGUCGUGGGUAGAUAAUUUUUGAUUAUUUGUACUAUGUUCUUCUCCUAUUAUGAUUGUAGUAUUGUUGUAUUAUGACUUUAUUAUGGUAGUACUAUGGUUAAUGGUAUUUCCAUUGUACCACUUAAAAUGGAUUGAAAUAAAAGCAACACUGACAUUAAAUGGAAUCCUUGAUGAGAC
rnacentral:lncRNA from 1 species